AUGCGAUGGUCGCUGUCCCCUGCCGAGACAUCCUCGCCUAACCACUCCACUGCGACCCAGUGCCAUCUAUCCCGCCUCACCCACCGUUGUCCCUCAGUUGAAAGAAACGCAAGAGUGAGGGACGGCGGAGACGGGCAAACAGCACCACAUUUUUUAUUAUUUAGUACUGCUGCCAUAAGGUCAUUCUAUAACAAAGAACUCAUUGGGAAGCAGCAGUUGCACUGGGUUACCUGGUAUAAGACCAACACAUUAUUCCCAAAAAGAAACAUACGUUGCAAUUUUGUAGGACGGAAAAGCAUACAAAAUAAUAGAGAGAAUUGGGAUAUACAUCCACAUGGGUUGCUA
rnacentral:rRNA from 1 species